GAUGAAGAACGUAGCGAAAUGCGAUACGUAAUGUGAAUUGCAAAUUCAGUGAAUCAUCGAGUCUUUGAACGCACAUUGCGCCCCCUGGUAUUCCGGGGGGCAUGCCUGUCCGAGCGUCAUUGCUGCCCUCAAGCACGGCUUGUGUGUUGGGCCCCGUCCUCCGAUCCCGGGGGACGGGCCCGAAAGGCAGCGGCGGCACCGCGUCCGGUCCUCGAGCGUAUGGGGCUUUGUCACCCGCUCUGUAAGCCCGGCCGGCGCUUGCCGAUCAACCCAAAUUUUUUAUCCAGGUUGACCUCGGAUCAGGUAGGGAUACCCGCUGAACUUAAGCAUAUCAAUAAGCGGAGGA
rnacentral:misc_RNA from 1 species